CUCCCCACAUACUAGGACUUCAUGCUAUGAUCCUGGCAGAUCUCACAAGCUAAACCAGGUCAGGCCAGAUCAGUACUUGGAUGGGAAACCCCAAGAUCACUUUGGUGCCCUGGGAAGU
rnacentral:rRNA from 1 species